rnacentral:rRNA from 1 species
AUGGUCCUGGGUUACUCCCAGCCAGAAGCUCAGUGAAUUGCCAACCGCUUGAAUUGCCAUUUGGGAACAUUCCCGACCACCUACCUUGGCAUGCCACUUAGUGAUACACGUUUGCUAGAGAAGGACUUUCAUCCAAUAAUCUCCAAACUCCAGCCUAGGAUGGAGCCCUGGCAGGGGAGAUGGCUAUCUAAAGCCGCUUGAGUGAUUCUGAUGAACUCCUCCCUUAUUAGCCUAUUGAUGUAUGUCAUGGGAUUCUAUAGUCUACAUGAAACCCUUCAUCAUGAGAUCACCAAACUCCUCUCCAGAUUCUUCUGGGCUGGAGAGAACAAUAAACAGAAAUACCACAUGGUAAAGUGGUCUGAGAUCUGUAAACCUAAAGACCAAGGAGGCCUUGGGGUUAUUUCGUCCAAGCGGAUGAAUAUUGCCAUCCUCUCCAAAUGGCUUUGGCGGAUUCAGACCACUGAGGGCGGCCUGUGGCUUGAGAUUAUCCGCGUGAAGUACCUUCGUGGGCAGCCACUGGCAUUCGCUCGUAGGACUGGUGGGUCCCAAUUCUGGUAA